UACGAAGGGGGCUAGCGUUGUUCGGAUUUACUGGGCGUAAAGCGCACGUAGGCGGAUCGUUAAGUCGGGGUGAAUCCUGGAGCUCAACUCCAGAACUGCCUUCGAUACUGGCGAUCUUGAGUCCGGAAGAGGUGAGUGGAACUCCUAGUGUAGAGGUGGAAUUCGUAGAUAUUAGGAAGAACACCAGUGGCCGAAGGCGGCUCACUGGUCCGGUACUGACGCUGAGGUGCGAAAGCGUGGGGAGCAAACAGG
rnacentral:rRNA from 1 species